AGCAAAACAGGAUUGCAAGAGUAGUUUGUUGAUGAAGAACAAGAAGGUGCUCUGAUAUAAUUGCUUUCUGCAUCAGUAGAUACUUCGGAGAAACAUUCAAAGUUUCUAUCAUUAGCUGCAGCUGGAUUUUUCUACAUUGAAGCGAAGGAUAAAUACAGGUAGCAGCAGCUAUGGGGGAAUGAGUAAACCUGAUCAGGUCACAGUCUGUUGUCAGAAGGUAAACGUCUCUACCUGUUUACACAUUGUAUACAUGUGGUCUAAAAAUGGCACUAUCCCUCCUAUAGAAUACUAUCUCAUACAAUGCAUUGCUGUCGCAUUAAGAAAAGGAA